GCCUCCCUCUGGCGGCGUGCUUAACACAUGCAAGUCGAACGAUGAACCCGGAGCUUGCUCUGGGGGAUUAGUGGCGAACGGGUGAGUAACACGUGAGUAACCUGCCCUGGACUCUGGGAUAAGCGUUGGAAACGACGUCUAAUACCGGAUAGGACCUUGGAUCGCAUGAUCUGGGGUGGAAAGUUUUUUCGGUCUGGGAUGGACUCGCGGCCUAUCAGCUUGUUGGUGAGGUAAUGGCUCACCAAGGCGUCGACGGGUAGCCGGCCUGAGAGGGUGACCGGCCACACUGGGACUGAGACACGGCCCAGACUCCUACGGGAGGCAGCAGUGGGGAAUAUUGCACAAUGGGCGAAAGCCUGAUGCAGCAACGCCGCGUGCGGGAUGACGGCCUUCGGGUUGUAAACCGCUUGUAGUAGGGAAGAAGGGCUUCGGCUUGACGGUACCUGCAGAAAAAGGACAGGCUAACUACGU
rnacentral:rRNA from 1 species